UCGAGAAUUUUUCACAAUGGGCGCAAGCCUGAUGGAGCGACGCCGCGUGGGGGAUGAAUGGCUUCGGCCCGUAAACCCCUGUCAUUUGCGAUCAACCGUUAUUGUUUAAGAGAUGAUAACCUGAUAGUAGCGAAAGAGGAAGGGACGGCUAACUCUGUGCCAGCAGCCGCGGUAAUACAGAGGUCCCAAGCGUUGUUCGGAUUCACUGGGCGUAAAGGGUGCGUAGGUGGCGAAGUAAGUCGGAUGUGAAAUCUCCGAGCUCAACUCGGAAACUGCAUUGGAAACUACUUUGCGUGAGGGUUGGAGGGGGGACUGGAAUACUUGGUGUAGCAGUGAAAUGCGUAGAUAUCUAGAGGAAAGACAGAAGCGAAAGCGGGGCACUGGGCCGAUUCUGACGCUGAGACGAGAAAGCGUGGGGAGCAAACA
rnacentral:rRNA from 1 species